rnacentral:tRNA from 1 species
AGCUUUUUAGUUUAUUUAGAAUUUUUGAGUGUGGGUCAAAGGGAUGUUAGCUU